GGGUACAAUCGAUGGAUUCGAAAAUGGAGACUAGACCAUGAUCGUCUGUGAAGGUAGUGGCCAUUAACAAUAGCACGUUAGGGUGUCGAAUCUCCCUAAACAGAAACAUAAAUAUUACAAAAUGAAAAGAUAAUGCUUAUGUAUGGUUUCCACUUGUCUCCUUUGAUAUUAUUCGCGAAAAUUACUCUAUUAAUUAUUUUUCUUUUUUAAACUGUCGGUUUAAGACAUGCGAAGAUCGUAAAACGUAUAACAUGUAUAAACUGCUUUGUGUAAAUUCAUAUUUUUGAGAAUAAAAUGAAAGAGACGCAUCGAUAAAAGUCCAUCGUUUUAUAGAGUAUCGAUCGGUACGUACGAAAGCACAUCUAAAUCCGCUUUCACAGCAUCUUUGCAUUCCGGAUGCGAAUGCCUCUUCAGUGAAACUCGUGUAUUUUGCCAUUCUGCAAAAAUCAAUUCCAGAUAUCGAUCUUCCGUGCCCGCUAUCCAUCCAA